rnacentral:lncRNA from 1 species
AUUACAACCCAGGUGCGAUGCGACACUCGGGCGUGUCACAUGCCCCUUUUGGUAAAAUGGAUUUGGGGCAGAACCUCUCUUUCUCUCUCCAUGCUGUGUCUUCACAGGAUGCAGGAUGCUCCUGUGGCAAGAUCAGCAGAGGCUCCUUCCCAGAAAAGACAAAGCGAUCGAAACUGAGAAAAAAAUAUUCAAGUGUGACAAAAAAAUUGAACCCAUCAAGUUUUUCCAAAUACGGUAGUCCACCCCUCGUCUGAGUUCCGACUUCCACGAUUUCAGUUACCCACGGUCAGGGGGGAUCCGGAAGCAGAUGAUCCCCCUCCUCAGGGAUAAUCUAAAGGUCAGUAGUAGCCUUACUUACUUACCACAUCACAGUGCCUACCUCAUUCACCUCACCUCAUCCCAUUGUGUAGACAUUUUAUCAUCAUCUCAUGUCAUCACAAGAAGAAGGGUGAGUAGCGUACAGUAAGAUACUUGGGGGGAGAGAGAGAGAGAGAGAGAGAGAGAGAGAGACCACAUUGAC